rnacentral:tRNA from 1 species
GCCGGCGUGGCGCAGCCCGGUAGCGCAACCGACUUGUAAUCGGUAGGUCGUCGGUUCGAAUCCGACCGCCGGCUCCG